ensembl:miRNA mdo-mir-1544a mdo-mir-1544a
AGCAGCUGCCCCUGCACCCAGGGAUAGGAUAGCGGUUCACUUGGAAGCCCCCUUUUCUAUCCCUGGUACUGGCGCCGCUGCU